CAGCAGCCGCGGUAAAACGUAGGGCGCAAGCGUUAUCCGGAAUUAUUGGGCGUAAAGAGCUCGUAGGCGGUUUGUCGCGUCUGCCGUGAAAGUCCGGGGCUCAACCCCGGAUCUGCGGUGGGUACGGGCAGACUAGAGUGAUGUAGGGGAGACUGGAAUUCCUGGUGUAGCGGUGAAAUGCGCAGAUAUCAGGAGGAACACCGAUGGCGGAGGCAGGUCUCUGGGCAUUAACUGACGCUGAGGAGCGAAAGCAUGGGGAGCGAACAGGAUUAGAGACCCCAGUAGUCCCUGUCUCUUAUAU
rnacentral:rRNA from 1 species